AAUAUAUGAGUAAUAAAAAGUUGGUUGGGAUUCCCCGCAUUUUCCUUCCUGCAACAACUUCUUCUUGUGCCCAAAUUGCCACACAGUGUACUUGCAGAAGAAACAAAUUAACCCCCCUCCCUCUCUCAUAGCUUUCUAAUAAGGGAACUGUUCAUUGUGUUCAACUACCUUGUUAGCUAGCUAUUCAAAAACUAGACAGAAAAUUGUGCUUUUAGCCGAGUAAAAGUGGUAGAAUAAGAAGACAAGGCGAUUAUACUAGAUCUCUAGUAAUAUAAGCUGAAAGAAUAACUGUUCAUGUGUUGAAUUGUGUAGAAGAUUUCUUGUUUCCAAGGGUUAUAGAUUGAAUAAUGUUAUGAACUGAGAUAGUAGUAAAUGAGAUCUUGUGGAAGCAUAGAAAUUCCUUACUAGCUCUUACUUUUUCCCUUUCUGGUCUGAGAGGUUGUCCCAGCCAACAGAAGCGAUUUCUUAGUGUCUACAAAUCAACUUUCCAUCUCUGCAGCUUUUGUUACAUUCUGUUGAAUGUGGAUUGAGGUUCAAAAGAUAGGACUUCCAAGCUCCCUUGAUCUUGAAAUGGCCGUUUCUUACACGUUUACCAGUAAAAUGUAAUUAAUAUUCCAGAUAUUUAUUGAAAAUGGAGAUCAAGGAAUCAGAGAGGGUGGUUAUAGCUAAACCAGUAGCUUCCAGGCCUAGUUGCUCCAAGUUUAGAUCUUUCUCAGAGUUGCUUGCGGGUGCCAUCAAUACUUCACCCUCUACUGAUUGUUCUGAAAUGGCAGUUGCUGCCAUUAGACCAAAAACUUUGAGGUUUAGGCCAACGGUGAAUCGUGCUCCAGGUGCAUUGGUUUCUUCCCAGGUUGAACUCUCUGGAACAACACUUAGCAAUUCAUCUAAUAGAGUUUCAAGUACUGAUAGCAAAACCACUGUCAUAUAUAAACCACAGGCAAAGUUUGUGUCGAAGGCAACUGUUUCUCUACUGGCGAGUAUGGGGAACUUCAAUACCAAUUCACAGCAAAUGCUACAAUCAGUUGAGGCUCGCCCUCAGUGUCCAAAACAAAAUAAACAAAAUUUCUCAUCCCAUCUAACCUCAAAUCUUCAUCAGAAUAUUCCAUCCCAUGCAGUAUUGUUGACAUCUCAGAAUCAGGAGGAUCCAAAAGCUUUAUCACAUGCAUCUAACGGGGACAGGGCUUCAUAUGAUGGUUAUAAUUGGAGGAAAUAUGGGCAAAAGCAAGUAAAAGGAAGUGAAUAUCCGAGGAGUUACUACAAGUGCACCUAUCCAAAUUGUCCGGUGAAAAAGAAGGUCGAAAGAUCAUUUGAUGGGCAAAUUGCAGAAAUUGUCUACAAAGGGGAACACAACCAUUCAAAGCCUCAGCCUCCUAAGCGCAACUCAUUAGGAACACAAGGAUUAGGAGCUGUAUCUGAUAGCAAUGCUCAAGAUAGGUACACCACUCCCUUAUGGAGUAAUCAACUCAUUGAAAGAAAUGAAGGCUCUGAAGGUAGAGAGGAAAAUCAGGUCGAAACAGGAUUACAGGUGCAUUCAAUUUACCAGGGUAAACCUCCGCCAUCUUGUGAUCGUGCUGGAACUGGAUCAAUUAAUGCUGGUGCGGGAACUUCUGAUAACUCAUGUGGUCUCAAUGGGGAAUGUAAUGAUGGAAGCAAGGGAUUGGAGGGAGACGAUGAUGAACCUAGAAAUAAAAGAAGGAAAGCUGGGAUACAAUCCAAUAAAGGUGGCAUAUCAGGGGAGGGCGUUCAGGAGCCCCGUGUAGUGGUGCAAAGUUCCACAGAUUCUGAGAUUUUGGGGGAUGGUUUUCGCUGGAGAAAAUAUGGGCAGAAGAUUGUAAGGGGGAAUCCAUAUCCCAGGAGUUACUAUAGAUGUACUAGUCUCAAAUGCAAUGUGCGCAAGCAUGUGGAAAGAGCAUCAGACGAUCCAAAAGCUUUUAUUACAACAUAUGAAGGAAAACAUAACCAUGAGAUGCCUCUGAAGAGUACAAAUAUACAGCCUUUGAACCCUGAUCUACAGGCACCUCCUAGUAGAGACAAGCUGUGAUCUCAACCAUGGAUGGGCGAAAUCUCGAUGCUUGUUCUGUCCCAGAUAUCAAAAAGAGUUCAGCGCACAAGAAGCUAAAUAACACGAGCAAAUAGACAAUAAAAAACAAGAACAUAGCAGUUUCAGUUCUGGAGGCUUCUUCGUGGUGCUGGUUUUGUGUUGGUGACGAGGAUUAAUAUCGAAAUGGCUGUCUCGUUUUCAUUAUCCUUGCUGGCCUAUCUUAAGCUUACGAACCUACAAAGAAUAUGCUAAAGCUGAAUAGGAUGUGAAGAUGUAGUAUUGGAUUAUAGUACAGCAGUUCUUAAGCACACGCCAACAAUGAAAUGUUGCUGCCAUGGAAUUACUGAAAGAAAAGAACUGAUUCUUUUCCUUAGCCACUGUCUAGCUAGCUGGGGCACAAAUUAAACACUCUUGCAUUGCAGAGAGCUACGAGCAUUGUUACCCUACAAUGGCGGGCUACGCUUCAUCUUUUCAAGCUCCACUAUGAGGUCUCUCCCGAUCUGGAUUUUUUUUUCUGCAACUCAGGCUCAGCGACUAUAACUCUGUUCACUCUAUCUUGAAGUUUUAAGAGCAGAGAUGGGGAAACAAAGAGCUCUAGAUUUUUUUUUUUAAGAAAUUAGAUGUUGAUCUCCUAGAUAGCAAUGUAUUAAUUUGUUGUAACUUCUACUCCAAACAUAACAACUCCUCCUCGAAAUCUUGAUGAAAUAACUCUUGAAUUUGAGGAACUCGAUGAAUGUCCAUCUAAAAAUCAAAAAAUUCAUCCUGGAAAAAUGAAUGUUACUUCUUUGGAA